UACGGGGGGGGCAAGCGUUGUUCGGAAUUACUGGGCGUAAAGGGCUCGUAGGCGGCCAACUAAGUCAGACGUGAAAUCCCUCGGCUUAACCGGGGAACUGCAUCUGAUACUGGAUGGCUUGAGUUCGGGAGAGGGAUGCGGAAUUCCAGGUGUAGCGGUGAAAUGCGUAGAUAUUGGGAAGAACACCGGUGGCGAAGGCGGCUAUCUGGACCGACAUUGACGCUGAGGCGCGAAAGCGUGGGGAGCAAACAGG
rnacentral:rRNA from 1 species